UACGGAGGGAGCUAGCGUUGUUCGGAAUUACUGGGCGUAAAGCGCGCGUAGGCGGCUUUGUAAGUUAGAGGUGAAAGCCCGGAGCUCAACUCCGGAACUGCCUUUAAGACUGCAUCGCUAGAAUUGUGGAGAGGUGAGUGGAAUUCCGAGUGUAGAGGUGAAAUUCGUAGAUAUUCGGAAGAACACCAGUGGCGAAGGCGACUUACUGGACGACUGUUGACACUGAGGUGCGAAAGCGUGGGGAGCAAACAGG
rnacentral:rRNA from 1 species